AACGAACGCUGGCGGCAGGCCUAACACAUGCAAGUCGAGCGAGGACUUCGGUUCUAGCGGCGGACGGGUGAGUAACGCGUGGGAAUGUGCCCUUCUCUACGGAAUAGCCCUGGGAAACUGGGAGUAAUACCGUAUACGCCCUAUUGGGGAAAGAUUUAUCGGAGAAGGAUCAGCCCGCGUUGGAUUAGGUAGUUGGUGGGGUAAUGGCCUACCAAGCCGACGAUCCAUAGCUGGUUUGAGAGGAUGAUCAGCCACACUGGGACUGAGACACGGCCCAGACUCCUACGGGAGGCAGCAGUGGGGAAUCUUAGACAAUGGGGGCAACCCUGAUCUAGCCAUGCUGCGUGAGUGAUGAAGGCCUUAGGGUUGUAAAGCUCUUUCAGCUGGGAAGAUAAUGACGGUACCAGCAGAAGAAGCCCCGGCUAACUCCGUG
rnacentral:rRNA from 1 species